rnacentral:tRNA from 1 species
ACUUAAGUAGUUUAAUAAAAAUGUUAGUUUGUGGUGCUAAUGAUGUAAUUUGUGCCUUGGGUU